GGAUUUAUUCUUGUCAUCCUGUGCAUGAAAUACAAUUUAAGUAUUGUGUUUAGUUUGUGUGUUCAUUUUUUCACUAUCCUUUGGUGCCUGUCAAGGGAAUAGCCUAAACAAAUGU